UUCGACCCCCAAAGGGGUCGCGACCCACAGGUUGAGAACCACUGCUCUAGACCCACAGCCUCUCAUCGCAGCUGCAUCUAAGUUCACAGCCUCAGUAGCCUCGGUAACAUACUUUAAUACUAUUUAGACAAAAGAGGCUUUCCGCCAAAUAGUGGCAGCAGUCGUCUGGGUUAUAGAAGGGCACGCCCGCCCAGUGCACCGUGAGAUUGCUGUGCCUGCGCCUGUGUGGAGCAUCUUGGCCUUGAACACUUUGAUAAAGAUUGCCACACUCUAAUUGGCCCUGGCCACCCGGCGUGCUCUGUAUGUUCCCACAGCAUCCGUGAAGUGUCUGCUGUGGGAUUCUGUGCAGCGGAGUCUGCAUCACUGUGGUUGCUGGUGGUCUGGCUCAUGUCCCUUCCUCCCUUACAUCCAACUGAAAAUGAAAAGUCUUUUAAUAAACACUGCCUUUAUAACU